rnacentral:lncRNA from 10 species
GUGCAGGCGCCCGGCGGGAAGGCGCGGAGGGGCCGCGCGGGGUCUCCGGUCCCCCAAGCGCGCGGGCUGGGUCCCUGGGGGCUUCUGCGGCGCGUCCCACAGGGUCUCCAGCCGUAAGACUGCGCUGCCCCGUCCCGGACGCGUGGACGGCUGAGCCGAGCGGGAGUCGGGAAAGGGCUCCGAGCUCGGAACCACCCCGCCCUCCCGCUGCGGCCGCCGCAGCCCCGCCUGGUCACCCGCUCUCGCCUCACAGCGACAGGCGCGGAUCUCAGGGGAAUCACCUACUCCCAGGUGUCUCCAGGCCAGUGCACGAGACAGGGCCGAUCUGUGGGGAACCACGCAACAAGUGCGCAGGUGCUCAGGACACACCUGGGUAGACAGCGAAGCUUUUCCUGUCCGUGUGGGCGCGGGUGAGCGCCCGGUUACCCAGGAAACUCCCACCUCACCCUCUCCACCUUCCGAAUUGCUCUGUGGAUGGUGGGGGAGGGGGGUGCGACGAUCAGAGGUCUCUUGUUUGCUGGAAGCCUGCUGAGUCUAUUGGCAGAGUGAAGCCAUUGCAAUAUGUGACAGCAUACAAGUGUCUGAGGAGGUUUGUCUGCGGCUAGUCCUGCUACAAUGUUGUAGACCAUCCCUCCCGUCUGCUUCCUGGGCACCUCUGCUUCUUCCCAAUCUGCCUGUGUCCUCCCUAGAUCCUAAAAGCCCUGCAGCUCCCUGGAGCCAUCUUCUGGAGUACAGAGACCCUGUGACAUCAUCCACCUGCCUCCACCCCUGCCAUGGCCCUUCCCUGAGGACACCGUGGGGAACUGAGGUCUCUGCCCUCCAGGCUGCUGCUGCCAGACCCCGAUACCUCCACACUUGUGUAGAAGCCUCUGCUCCCCAGGCCUCCUGCCAUCCUGCUGAGCACCCUCUGCCCCUCCUAGGAAGGGACCAGAGAAACUCACGUGUGUCUGCCAUGAUGGCUUCGUGGGAGACAGUCAGAUCCACUAGGGAAGCAUCUGCAUCUGCCUGGCUCACCAUGCGGUAAAGUUAAUAAACAGUAAGUAUUUCCCUGAAUAAAGAAAUGAAUGAUGAAUGCCCACUGCCCACUCCCCCUUGCGCAGUGAGUACUCGGGCAUCUAGCUUUAGAGCGGUAUUUUGCUCCAGCCCAGGAAGGGUG